rnacentral:rRNA from 1 species
UGGGGGAUAUUGCACAAUGGGCGAAAGCCUGAUGCAGCGACGCCGCGUGGGGGAUGAAGGCUUUCGGGUUGUAAACCUCUUUCGCUAUCGAACAAGGCCCGCUUAGGGUGGGUUGAGGGUAGGUGGAGAAGAAGCGCCGGCUAACUACGUGCCAGCAGCCGCGGUAAUACGUAGGGCGCGAGCGUUGUCCGGAAUUAUUGGGCGUAAAGGGCUUGUAGGCGGCUUGUUGCGCCUGCUGUGAAAACGCGGGGCUUAACUUCGCGCGUGCAGUGGGUACGGGCAGGCUUGAGUGUGGUAGGGGUGACUGGAAUUCCAGGUGUAGCGGUGGAAUGCGCAGAUAUCUGGAGGAACACCGAUGGCGAAGGCAGGUCACUGGGCCAUUACUGACGCUAAGGAGCGAAAGCAUGGGUAGCGAACAGG